CAGAUUUAUAUUUGUCCUCUGGCCUAUCUUUACUGUUUCGAGGGUGCGCAGGGGUGGAGGGGUUUCGUCUUAUGGUGAGUUUUUUAUUCGCUAGGUGAAGUGCUUUUUUAAUGGCUGGAUAUUUCACUGGAUGGUGGGGUGUUGCAGCAUAAUUGUCAUUGGCGCUGGUGGGUGGUUGCUGUGGGUUGGGGGCCUCUUCAUUUUGCUGCGCUCUUGCUUCAUUGAUGGCAGUUUCUGCGUUUUUCUUGAUGGAGAGUGGCAGGCCUUUGUGGUGGCCAUGCUUUGUUCCGUGCUCGGGGAUGUGUUGCACCUCACGGUUAUAGUCGAUAGGAUAUGUGCAGUAUAGAUGCGCUCUGCUGAAGUAUGAACGG
rnacentral:lncRNA from 1 species